GAUGAACGCUAGCUACAGGCUUAACACAUGCAAGUCGAGGGGCAGCGGUAUCGAAAGCUUGCUUUCGGUAGCCGGCGACCGGCGCACGGGUGAGUAACGCGUAUCGAACCUGCCUCAUACUCGGGAUUAGCCUUGCGAAAGUAAGAUUAAUGCCCGGUGUUUUCAGAGUCCCGCAUGAGGCUUUGAACAAAGAUUUAUCGGUAUGAGAUGGCGAUGCGUCCCAUUAGCUUGUUGGCGGGGUAACGGCCCACCAAGGCAUCGAUGGGUAGGGGUUCUGAGAGGAAGGUCCCCCACAUUGGAACUGAGACACGGUCCAAACUCCUACGGGAGGCAGCAGUGAGGAAUAUUGGUCAAUGGGCGGAAGCCUGAACCAGCCAAGUAGCGUGCAGGAAGACGGCCCUCCGGGUUGUAAACUGCUUUUAGUUGGGAAUAAAACGGGGCUCGUGAGCCCCCUUGCAUGUACCAUCAGAAAAAGGACCGGCUAAUUCCGUG
rnacentral:rRNA from 1 species